rnacentral:misc_RNA from 1 species
GGAGGGAGAAGAUGGGGCCGUAUUCUUGAGCGAGAUUUUGGAGAGUGCGGUACAUGCGUGGUUUUAGGAGGCGAAGGUGGCCGAUAAUUGGAAGUGCAGGUGGACUAGGAGGGAGGUUUCUGUAGCAUAUUCUUGAUCGGAAAGUUUUAAAAACAAGGAAGAGGAUGAGAAGGGAAAGGAAGAAGCAAGGGACUGAGUCUUCCAUGAUUUCUUUGUUUUUGCUCUGCUUGGCUAAAUUUGCGAG